rnacentral:rRNA from 1 species
CCGCGCCCGAUUAGCUAGUUGGUGAGGUAAUGGCUCACCAAGGCGACGAUCGGUAGCCGGCCUGAGAGGGCGAACGGCCACACUGGAACUGAGACACGGUCCAGACUCCUACGGGAGGCAGCAGUGGGGAAUAUUGCGCAAUGGGGGAAACCCUGACGCAGCAACGCCGCGUGGAGGACGAAGGUUUUCGGAUUGUAAACUCCUGUCCUCUGGGACGAUAAUGACGGUACCAGAGGAGGAAGCCACGGCUAACUACGUGCCAGCAGCCGCGGUAAUACGUAGGUGGCAAGCGUUGUCCGGAAUUACUGGGCGUAAAGGGCGCGUAGGCGGUACCCUAAGUCAGAUGUGAAAACCCGGAGCUUAACUUCGGAACUGCAUUUGAAACUGGGGAACUCGAGUGUCGGAGAGGAAAGCGGAAUUCCAAGUGUAGCGGUGAAAUGCGUAGAUAUUUGGAGGAACACCAGUGGCGAAGGCGGCUUUCUGGACGAUAACUGACGCUGAGGCGCGAAAGCGUGGGGAGCAAACAGGAUUAGAUACC